rnacentral:rRNA from 1 species
GGGGGGGGAAAAAAAAACCCCCCCCGGGGGAAAAAAAAAUUUUUUGGGGUGUUUUUAAUUUUCCCCGCCAAAAAUUUUUUUUUUUGGGGGGAAAAAAAAGGGGGGGCCCCUUUUUUUUUAUUAUUUGUUUUUUCGUUUUUUAAGAGUGGAGCCCCGGCGUUAAGGAUUAAGCUUAGUUGGGGGAGGUCAAAAAGUUCCCCCAAAGGCAACCGAUCUUUUAGGCUGUUUUGGAGGGAUGAUUAAGCCCCCCUGGGGAUUAAGACCCGGCCCCAGAUUCUUCGGGGAGGCAGCAAUGGGGGAAUAUGGAACAAUGGGCGCAAAGCCUGAUCCAGCAAUUACCGCGUGUGUGAAGAAGGCUGAAGGGUUGUAAAGCACUUUCAAUUGUGAAGAAAAAGCUAAAGCCCAAUAAUCUUUAGCCUUGACGUUAACUUUAGAAGAAGCACCGGCUACCUCCGUGCCAGCAGCCGCGGUAAUACGGAGGGUGCAAGCGUUAAUCCGAAUUACUGGGGCGUAAAGCGUGCGUAGGUGGUUUGUUAAGUCAGAUGUGAAAUCCCCGGGCUCAACCUGGGAACUGCAUUUGAAACUGGCAAACUAGAGUAUAGGAGAGGAAAGUGGAAUUUCUGGUGUAGCGGUGAAAUGCGUAGAUAUCAGAAGGAACAUCAAUGGCGAAGGCAGCUUUCUGGACUAAUACUGACACUGAGGUACGAAAGCGUGGGUAGCAAACAGGAUUAGAUACCCUGGUAGUCCACGCCGUAAACGAUGAUAACUAGCCGUUGGGAGGGUUUACCUCUUAGUGGCGAAGCUAACGCGUUAAGUUAUCCGCCUGGGGAGUACGGCCGCAAGGUUAAAACUCAAAGGAAUUGACGGGGACCCGCACAAGCGGUGGAGCAUGUGGUUUAAUUCGAUGCAACGCGAAGAACCUUACCUGGUCUUGACAUACACGGAACUUUCCAGAGAUGGAUUGGUGCCUUCGGGAACCGUGAUACAGGUUCUGCAUGGCUGUCGUCAGCUCGUGUCGUGAGAUGUUGGGUUAAGUCCCGUAACGAGCGCAACCCUUAUCCUUAUUUGCCAGCACAUAAUGGUGGGAACUAUAAGGAGACUGCCGGUGAUAAACCGGAGGAAGGCGGGGACGACGUCAAGUCAUCAUGGCCCUUACGACCAGGGCUACACACGUGCUACAAUGGGAAGGACAAAGGGUGGCUAAGCCGCGAGGUGGUGCUAAUCUCAUAAACCCUUUUGUUUUUACUAGCGGUGUGUACAAGUCCCGUGCAUGUAUUCGGAAUGGCUUGUAGUCCGGGUAUGAUAGCGAUCUGUUAUGCCCC